rnacentral:ribozyme from 1 species
ACUCGACCAAGCGAGUAUAAAAAGUCUUUAGGCUUGGUGCGUUGCUCCCCCUGUGGGGGCAGGUAGUA